UAGGGAAUAUUAGUAAUGGGCGAAAGCCUGAACUAGCAACGCCGCGUGUGCGAAGAAGGCCUUCGGGUUGUAAAGCACUUUUUGAGAGGAUGAGGAAGGACGGUACUCUCAGAAUAAGUCUCAGCUAACUACGUGCCAGCAGCCGCGGUAACACGUAGGAGGCGAACGUUAUCCGGAUUUACUGGGCGUAAAGCGCGUGUAGGUGGUUUGGUAAGUAGGGCGUGAAAGCUCCUGGCUCAACUGGGAGAGGCCGUUCUAAACUGCCGAACUAGAGGAUGGUAGAGGGAGGUGGAAUUCCGGGUGUAGCGGUGGAAUGCGCAGAUAUCCGGAGGAACACCAGUGGCGAAAGCGGCCUCCUGGACCACUCCUGACACUCAGACGUGAAAGCUAGGGUAGCAAACGG
rnacentral:rRNA from 1 species